AUACGUAGGGGGCGGGCGUUAUCCGGAAUUAUUGGGCGUAAAGAGUACGUAGGUGGUUUCCUAAGCGAGGGGUUUAAGGCACUGGCUUAACCAAUGUUCGCCCCCCGAACUGGGGAACUUGAGUGCUGGAGAGGAAAGCGGAAUUCCUAGUGUAGCGGUGCAAUGCGUAGAUAUUAGGAGGAAAACCAGUGGCGGAGGCGGCUUUCUGGACAGUAACUGACACUGAGGUACGAAAGUGUGGGGAGCAAACAGGAUUAGAUACCCUGGUAGUCCACACCGUAAACGAUGAGCACUAGGUGUCGGGCUCGCAAGAGUUCGGUGCCGCAGUUAACGCAUUAAGUGCUCCGCCUGGGGAGUACGUACGCAAGUAUGAAACUCAAAUGAAUUGACGGGG
rnacentral:rRNA from 1 species